UACGGAGGGGGCUAGCGUUGUUCGGAAUUACUGGGCGUAAAGCGCACGUAGGCGGCUUUGCAAGUCAGAGGUGAAAGCCCGGGGCUCAACCCCGGGUCGGCCGUGCGGACUGCCGGGCUCGAGCACUGUAGAGGCGGGUGGAAUUCCGGGUGUAGCGGUGGAAUGCGUAGAGAUCCGGAAGAACACCGGUGGCGAAGGCGGCCCGCUGGGCAGUGGCUGACGCUGAGGCGCGACAGCGUGGGGAGCAAACAGG
rnacentral:rRNA from 1 species